rnacentral:rRNA from 1 species
AUGACAAUGCUUUCGAUAGUCUGUACUAAAUUACUUUGUACGAAUGCACAUCUCGGCCGUCGGGUAGCUGAUCACCAUUUCAAAGUCUAUAUCCGUGGUUCAAGAAAUGGAAUUGCUAUUCUCGAUUCAGACAAGACACUGAUUUGUUUACGAAACGCUCUUCAUUUUAUAGGAUCUCCCAGUCGUCAAAAAGGCCGUUCCUUCUUUUUAAAGACCAAUCAUUUAUUUAUUUAUGAGAUAACGGAAGAAAUGGCGAGCUAUUUAAGAAGCUAUUUAAGAAAUGUGAAUUCUCAUUGUUUCGAUGAUUCUCAAUGGAAGAUCGGGGCGUUUUUGACCAAUUCUUUUGCAAAUAAAAAAAAAUUCCGUUCAAGAAAGAAGAAGAUCAAUUUUGGGUUGAACCAACAACCUGAUUGUGUGGUUAUUCUGAAUGCAGAUAGAAAGUCUUCGGUCAUACUGGAAGCUGAUCGAUCACAAAUACCUAUUCCAUCCUUAGUUGAUUCUACGAUCCCAUGGGAAUCCUAUAAAAGAAUCACUUAUCCCAUCCCAGCGAAUGAUCCUAUACAGUUCGUAUAUCUAUUUUGUCAUUCGAUCAUGAAAACAGUGAUUCUUGAACAGAAUGCGAUUAGUAGAGAAGCGCAAUCUCUCAGAGUCACUUUGAGUACGGGGAAGUCCGCAGGAGGGAUGAGAUCCGCCUGCUACUCCACCUCUUCUUCUUCCCCAAUAGACGAAGAAGAAAAUAGGGCCAAGGCGCUAUUGGAGAUGCGCAAAAAAUAUCCAUCGGGAGAUGGCGCUGACGCUGACGCUAACGCUCGCAAGGCGGUUUUGCAGGCAAUUUCACAAAAUAGUUUUUUUUUCGUUGAGCUCAUAACCCGGUUUGGGCCGAUUGACUCUGAGAGCGAUCGAGGGGUCGCGGGCUCACACCUUGCUUUUGCGCAUAGGAUCGAAGAGAUCCUAGAAUUUCAUGGAAAGAGCAGCGGCUCUCUGAAAGACCUCAUUGAUCUGAAAUUGGAUUUGGAAGACGCCUCUAAAAGAGAGGAGAUUCUACUUCCAUAUUUUUCCUCCAAAAAAGAGGCAAAGUCCUAG